rnacentral:misc_RNA from 1 species
CCGAGCGAGGGCCUCCGGGUCCGACCUCCAACCCUUUGUUGUUACAAUCUCUGUUGCCUCGGGGGCGACCCGGCCUCCGCGUCGGGGCCCCCGGUGGACCCCCCAAUCAAACUCUGCGUCCAUGCGUCGGAGUCGCAAGUAAAUGUAAUCA